GCCUCGCUAGCUCAAUCGGUUAGAGCGUCAGACUCUUAAUCUGAAGGUUGCGGGUUCGACCCCCGCGUGGGGCU